AAAGAAAGCAUCAACGAAACUUUUGAAAGCUUGAAGGAGAAGAAUUUUUGCGAAGCCUCGUCCAUAAGUUGAGUGUCCAGUGUUCGUGGUUCUUCCAAAAAUUUACAGAAUAAUACAUAAAUGUUAUUUAUCAAUCACUUAGUGUGUGUUGUGUGUGGAAAUAUCAAAACUUUUACCUCUUUAUUUUGUUGAUUUUUUUCAUCUGAUUUUCCAGUAUCUUCUACCACUUGUUGUAUUUUGGCAAGAGCAACAGUCAUCACCCACCCCAUUCCACAAUCCCAUACCUCCAAAAUCUAAUCAAAUCCUAACCCAAAAGCUCAUCUGCACACAUGACCAUACCUCCAAUUCCGAUAGACACUGCAACAGCCAUGACCAAACUCCAUCACAAACUAUUUUAUACAAAACCCAAAACGAGCAAUUUCAUAGUCACAUAUCAUCAGGAAUCUCUCUAAUUUCUAUGUAAGGAUUUUUUUGUUUCUAUGAAUUUUGCUUUUCAAUUUCUUGUUCUCUUGAAUUAAUCAUCAUUAUUCUUAAAUUUUCAUUUGAUUAUCGUGUUUCGUUUUGAGUUUACAUAAAUGGCCAUGGUAUUAGUUUUGUUCAAAGAUAGCUUUGAGAUGAUGGUGAAUUCUAGCUUAUGAGGUAAUUUUGUAAGAACUUUACUAUUGAAAUUAAUUUCUCUUACUUAGAAAUUAUUCGGUUUUUAAGCGUAAUAGACGAGGAACGACGAGAAAUGCUUGUAAAUUUAACACUUGCACUUUCAUAUUAAAGGAAUACAGAAGGGAAAAAAACUUGGGAAUAGUGAUUAUUGGACGGGAUCAGGAGAAGGGGGUAGACACUGGAGUUUCUGCUGGUUUUGGAUGGACUCAAAGAUGGAGAUUUGUUUGGGGAUGACGUUGUGCAGAUAAGAUUCAUCUAUGGAGUAAUUAGUCCAAUACCUAUGUUUGUGAUCUUCUCCUACUUCAUUUUAAAUUUUAAAAUCUCUUUUUUCUUGCAUAUUUCAUUUGUUUUAGAAAAACGUGUCUUCUCUAGAAAUGGUGGAAAUUUUAUGGAUUUGUGCAUGUUUUGUAAGGUAGAUUGGAUGAACAUUGUUAAGAAAGAAAAAGAAAAGCUUAUAAUCUUAUUUAUGUGUGAUGACCUUUUUGUAGGAUUUAGAACAAUACGAACUCUUCCCGCUGCACGGAGUGCCAACUGGCAAUCUCCGUGUUGCACGAAGAAUACACUUCGUGUGCAUUGCACGAAGCAUUUUUCGUGCGUGCAGCACGGAGAGGCACUGCACCUCUCAGUGUUGUGCAGAGAACGGUGCUACUCCAAAUUUUUCUUUUUUCUCCUUUCUUUAAAAG
rnacentral:lncRNA from 1 species